UACGUAGGGCGCAAGCGUUAUCCGGAAUUAUUGGGCGUAAAGAGCUCGUAGGCGGUUUGUCGCGUCUGCCGUGAAAGUCCGGGGCUCAACUCCGGAUCUGCGGUGGGUACGGGCAGACUAGAGUGAUGUAGGGGAGACUGGAAUUCCUGGUGUAGCGGUGAAAUGCGCAGAUAUCAGGAGGAGCACCGGUGGCGAAGGCGGUUCUCUGGGCAUUACCUGACGCUGAGGAGCGAAAGUGUGGGGAGCGAACAGG
rnacentral:rRNA from 1 species